AUGCUUACUUUGGCAGCACUUAUAGCAAAACUGAUAUCAUACAGAGAUUACCAUGGCCCCUACACAAGGAUUACAUGCAAAUUCAUUGAGUAUUCCAUAUUGUU